CCUACGGGUGGCUGCAGUGGGGAAUUUUGGACAAUGGGGGCAACCCUGAUCCAGCCAUUCCGCGUGAGUGAAGAAGGCCUUCGGGUUGUAAAGCUCUUUUGUCCGGAGCGAAACGGGCGGCCCUAAUACGGUCGUCUACUGACGGUACCGGAAGAAUAAGCACCGGCUAACUACGUGCCAGCAGCCGCGGUAAUACGUAGGGUGCGAGCGUGCAUCGGGAUUACGGGGCGGGUUGUGUGCGCAGGAGGUGAAAUCCCCGGGCUCAACCUGGGAAUGGCGUUUGGGACUGCAAGGCUGGAGUGUGGCAGAGGGGACUAGAAUUCCUGGUGUAGCAGUGAAAUGCGUAGAUAUCAGGAGGAAUACCGAUGGCGAAGGCAGGUCCCUGGGCUGACACUGACGCUCAUGCACGAAAGCGUGGGGAGCAAACAGGAUUAGAUACCCCUGUAGUC
rnacentral:rRNA from 1 species